GCCAGUGUGGUGUAGUAGUUUGUUGGAUUAUAACUCUGGAGACCAGGGUUCAAAUCCCCGCUCAGUCA